UACGAAGGGGGCUAGCGUUGUUCGGAAUUACUGGGCGUAAAGCGCACGUAGGCGGCUCGUUAAAUUAGAAGUGAAAGCCCCGGGCUUAACCUGGGAAUUGCUUUUAAGACUGUCGGGCUAGAAUCCAGAAGAGGGUAGUGGAAUUCCGAGUGUAGAGGUGAAAUUCGUAGAUAUUCGGAAGAACACCAGUGGCGAAGGCGACUACCUGGUCUGGCAUUGACGCUCAUGUGCGAAAGCGUGGGGAGCAAGCAGG
rnacentral:rRNA from 1 species